UACGAAGGGGACUAGCGUUGUUCGGAAUCACUGGGCGUAAAGCGCACGUAGGCGGCGCAGCAAGUCAGGGGUGAAAUCCCGGGGCUCAACCCCGGAACUGCCCUUGAAACUGCAGUGCUAGAAUUCUGGAGAGGCGAGUGGAAUUCCGAGUGUAGAGGUGAAAUUCGUAGAUAUUCGGAAGAACACCAGUGGCGAAGGCGACUCGCUGGACAGAUAUUGACGCUGAGGUGCGAAAGCGUGGGGAGCAAACAGG
rnacentral:rRNA from 1 species